AGGAUUGCCUCUUGCGAGAAGUCGUCAUCCACUUGGGCUUUCUCGAGCUGGUUCUUGAUUUCUUCUAUAUUUUUUUCCUGCAUUGGAGGGGUUGUCGCGUUUCCAUCGUGAGAUAAACUUGCGGCACCGAGAAAUCCUAUCGUGAAGGUCUUCUUUGUGGAAGGAGGUCGGGUCAUUCCAUCCUUGGAGUAGAAAAGCACGGAAGCCAUUCUUGCCAAUCCAUCUCUUGUCGAAUUUAAAAUCUCUAUUGCCUUUGAGGUGACGAAUUCUUUCUUCCUCUGUCUUCGCAUUGACCUCUUCGGUCUUGCGGUUUAGGUUGAUUUCUCCUGAUUCCAGAGAUACACGGUUA
rnacentral:lncRNA from 1 species